AGUGAACGCUGGCGGUAGGCCUAACACAUGCAAGUCGAACGGCAGCACAGUAAGGGCUUGCUCUUACGGGUGGCGAGUGGCGGACGGGUGAGGAAUACAUCGGAAUCUACUUUUUCGUGGGGGAUAACGUAGGGAAACUUACGCUAAUACCGCAUACGACCUACGGGUGAAAGCAGGGGAUCUUCGGACCUUGCGCGAUUGAAUGAGCCGAUGUCGGAUUAGCUAGUUGGCGGGGUAAAGGCCCACCAAGGCGACGAUCCGUAGCUGGUCUGAGAGGAUGAUCAGCCACACUGGAACUGAGACACGGUCCAGACUCCUACGGGAGGCAGCAGUGGGGAAUAUUGGACAAUGGGCGCAAGCCUGAUCCAGCCAUACCGCGUGGGUGAAGAAGGCCUUCGGGUUGUAAAGCCCUUUUGUUGGGAAAGAAAAGCAGCAGGUUAAUACCCCGCUGUUCUGACGGUACCCAAAGAAUAAGGACCGGCUAACUUCGUG
rnacentral:rRNA from 1 species